rnacentral:lncRNA from 1 species
CCAGGGUGCUGCUGUGGCAGCGUGGCAGAAACACAGCCAGCCACCCAUGUCCUCCCUGUCCUGUGCCCUGCCCUCACCAGCAGCCACUGCUGAUCUGCACCAAUUCAUCUGCUGUUUUGGUGAGUGCCUGCUGUGCACUCCAAUUAAUAGAGUUGCUUUAUUUUGCUGGAGAGAGCGCUGGAACCCAUGCCACAAACAGCUCUGUGAGCGUCUUUCUGCCCACCUGCCCCCACGGAACAGCUUGUCCAAUGUACUGGCAUCGUCCCUGGUCACUCUCCAUCGGUGCAGCACAUCUGGCGGGGACCACAGGGGACACUGGAACCUGAGAGGGGCUUGGAUCUGUGCUUCAGUUAUGUCAUGUCUGAGUGGUGCUUGUUUGUGUAUUUUCAGAAAACCCAGAGUAAAAAAGGUUUUCCCCCAUAAAUUAAUAGUGACCUCAAAGCUCCCGUGGUGGAAAAACUGCCAUGUGAUGCAAUGCCAGUAAAAUAAAAGCAACUGCAACUUCA